rnacentral:rRNA from 1 species
CCUACGGGUGGCAGCAGUGAGGAAUAUUGGUCAAUGGCCGGAAGGCUGAACCAGCCAAGCCGCGUGAAGGACGAAGGUGCCAAGCAUUGUAAACUUCUUUUGUCAAGGGACAAAAUCAGGCUCGAGCGCCUGACCGAGGGUACUCUAAGAACAAGCAUCGGCUAACUCCGUGCCAGCAGCCGCGGUAAUACGGAGGAUGCGAGCGUUAUCCGGAUUUAUUGGGUGAAAGGGGUGCGUAGGCGGGAUGUUACGUCAGCGGUAAAAGCCCGGGGCUCAACCCCGGCGAGCCGUUGAAACUGGGGGUCUUGAGAGGGCGAGAGGGAUGCGGAAUGCGGAGUGUAGCGGUGAAAUGCUUAGAUAUUGCGCAGAACUCCGAUUGCGAAGGCAGCAUACCGGAGGCGAUCUGACGCUGAGGCACGAAAGCGUGGGUAUCGAACAGGAUUAGAUACCCUGGUAGUC